AGCCCUAAGUCUAGCCCGCACCCCCCCCCCCAACCCAUUAAUAUCCACCUUUAACCAAAUAAACCAUUUUAGCGUCUAGUAUAGGCGAUAAAACGACAUAACGGAGCUAUAGAUAGAGUACCGCAAGGGAAAGAUGAAAUAGAAAUGAAAAACCACCUAAAGCCAAACAAAGCAGAGGCUCCCCCUCGUACCUUUUGCAUCAUGGUCUAGCCAGUCAAAUCCGAGCAAAAAGAAUUAAAGUCCGGCCCCCCGAAACUAAGCGAGCUACUCCGAGGCAACUUUUAGAGCUAACCCGUCUCUGUGGCAAAAGAGUGGGAAGACCCCUGAGUAGCGGUGACAGACCUAACGAGCUUAGUGAUAGCUGGUUGCUCAAGAAAAGAGUAUCAGCCCUGCCUUAAAAUUGUUUAACAGCCUAAAAAGCACAAAACACCUAUUAAGACCUAUUCUAUCCGGGUACAGCCGGAUAGAAAAAGGAAACAACCUCCAACCCCGGGUAAAGACUAUAACAUGUAAGGGAACUAAAGCCAGUGGGCCUAAGAGCAGCCACCUGAGAAGAAAGCGUCAAAGCUCGCUUCACCAUAACCCCCCAGCAAUACAAGCACCUUAUCUCAACCCACCACCCCUACUGAGCUAUUCCAUAUCUUAUGGAAGAACUUAUGCUAGAACCAGUAACAAGGAUUCAAAGUCCUCCUUAUGCAAGUGUAAAGCAGAUCGAAUACAUCGCUGCUAACUAACGCCCUCAAUGAAAGAAUUGAAGCAACCUAACAAGAAAACCCUUCUUCCCUACAAACGUUAACCUAACACAAGAGCAUACAAGUGAAAGACAUAAAGAUCGGGAAGGAACUCGGCAAACAUGAACCCCGCCUGUUUACCAAAAACAUCGCCUCUUGCAAGAAACAAGUAUAAGAGGUCCAGCCUGCCCAGUGACACCAUGUUCAACGGCCGCGGUAUUCUGACCGUGCAAAGGUAGCGUAAUCACUUGUCUUUUAAAUAAAGACUUGUAUGAAAGGCACCACGAAGGUUCAACUGUCUCCCCCCUCUAGUCAGUGAAACUGAUCUCCCCGUGCAGAAGCGGGGAUAAACCCACAAGACGAGAAGACCCUAUGGAGCUUAAAACACCAGGCACCUGCUUCCAACCUAAAACCUAACAGGUAAAACCCUUAACCAGGCAGAGAUGACCCUAUGUUUUCGGUUGGGGCGACCACGGAGGACAGACCAUCCUCCGAGAAGAAACGGACCUUAUACCCUUAACCAAGGGCGACAGCCCUAAGUACCAGAACUUCUGACUACCUUUGACCCAGUCUAACUGAUCAACGAACCAAGUUACCCUAGGGAUAACAGCGCGAUCCACUUAGAAAGUUCAUAUCGACAAGUGGGUUUACGACCUCGAUGUUGGAUCAGGGCGCCCAAGUGGUGCAGCCGCUACUAAAGGUUCGUUUGUUCAACGAUUAAAGCCCUACGUGAUCUGAGUUCAGACCGGAGAAAUCCAGGUCAGUUUCUAUCUGUGAAGAACCUCUCCUAGUACGAAAGGACCGGAGAAGUGAAGCCUAUACACUAGCACGCUUCAAUCCAACCUCAUUGACCUCUACUUAAUCGUUAUUGGAUCUUCCAAUAAGCCCGAAAUUAGGGCUA
rnacentral:rRNA from 1 species